rnacentral:rRNA from 1 species
GGAUGAACGCUGGGCGGCGUGCCUAAUACAUGCAAGUAGAACGCUGAAGCUUGGUGCUUGCACCGAGCGGAUGAGUUGCGAACGGGUGAGUAACGCGUAGGUAACCUGCCUCUUAGCGGGGGAUAACUAUUGGAAACGAUAGCUAAUACCGCAUAAAAGUCGAUAUCGCAUGAUAUUGAUUUGAAAGGUGCAAUUGCAUCACUAAGAGAUGGACCUGCGUUGUAUUAGCUAGUUGGUGAGGUAACGGCUCACCAAGGCGACGAUACAUAGCCGACCUGAGAGGGUGAUCGGCCACACUGGGACUGAGACACGGCCCAGACUCCUACGGGAGGCAGCAGUAGGGAAUCUUCGGCAAUGGGGGCAACCCUGACCGAGCAACGCCGCGUGAGUGAAGAAGGUUUUCGGAUCGUAAAGCUCUGUUGUAAGAGAAGAACGAGUGUGAGAGUGGAAAGUUCACACUGUGACGGUAACUUACCAGAAAGGGACGGCUAACUACGUGCCAGCAGCCGCGGUAAUACGUAGGUCCCGAGCGUUAUCCGGAUUUAUUGGGCGUAAAGCGAGCGCAGGCGGUUAGAUAAGUCUGAAGUUAAAGGCUGUGGCUUAACCAUAGUACGCUUUGGAAACUGUUUAACUUGAGUGCAGAAGGGGAGAGUGGAAUUCCAUGUGUAGCGGUGAAAUGCGUAGAUAUAUGGAGGAACACCGGUGGCGAAAGCGGCUCUCUGGUCUGUAACUGACGCUGAGGCUCGAAAGCGUGGGGAGCAAACAGG